GUGCUUUCCUUGGCAGCUCCUGUACUGUAAUUGGAACUACACAGAGAUCAGCAUGGCCCCUGCUCAAGGAUGACAUAAAAAUUUGUGAAACCUUCCAUAAUUUU
ensembl:snRNA U6 U6 spliceosomal RNA